rnacentral:rRNA from 1 species
GAUGAACGCUAGCGGCAGGCCUAACACAUGCAAGUCGAGGGAGAAGCCCUUCGGGGCAGAAACCGGCGCACGGGUGCGUAACGCGUAUGCAACCUACCCUUCACAGGGGGAUAGCCCGAAGAAAUUUGGAUUAAUACCCCAUAAUAUUAUUGGAUGGCAUCAUUUGAUAAUUAAAAUUACGAUGGUGAAAGAUGGGCAUGCGUCCUAUUAGCUAGUUGGAGUGGUAACGGCACCCCAAGGCUACGAUAGGUAGGGGUCCUGAGAGGGAGAUCCCCCACACUGGUACUGAGACAGGGACCAGACUCCUACGGGAGGCAGCAGUGAGGAGUAUUGGUCAAUGGUCGGAAGACUGAACCAGCCAUGCCGCGUGCAGGAAGAAUGCCUUAUGGGUUGUAAACUGCUUUUAUAUGGGAAAGAAUAAGGAGUACGCGUACUUGAUGACGUACCAUAUGAUAAGCUCG